GGCGACAAAACGAGACCCUGUC
rnacentral:miRNA from 1 species